AUGAUGUUACCUCGGCAACUGAGGAUAGCACCGCCUCCAGCCCCGCCCACCGUCCCGCCUACAGACCUGGUCCUCGCUUGCCUCCGAGGACUCUUACUUCCGCCUCAACCUGCCAGCUGGGACCUGGAGGCCUACCGUCUAUGCCUGCGCUUGUGCUGCCUGACUAAAAAUACAGCAGAAGGCUCCGCGCAGCGUGAGAAAAUGGGCCCGAUUUUCAGGCAAUGCCUUGGACAACAGCAACCUGGGAGGGCCCCAAUUUGCCGAGGGAGACGUGGAGCUGAGGGAAGCGAGACGCCGCGGAGGAAGUGGAGCGCCUGGGCCGAGCUGGCGUGA
rnacentral:lncRNA from 1 species